rnacentral:rRNA from 1 species
AAAGAAAUUCGGUGAAGGAUGGGCAUGCGUCGCAUUAGUUAGUUGGCGGUGUAACGGACCACCAAGACGACGAUGCGUAGGGGUUCUGAGAGGAAGGUCCCCCACACUGGUACUGAGACACGGACCAGACUCCUACGGGAGGCAGCAGUGAGGAAUAUUGGUCAAUGGCCGAGAGGCUGAACCAGCCAAGUCGCGUGAGGGAAGAAUGUCCUAUGGAUUGUAAACCUCUUUUGUCAGGGAGCAAAGUCACCCACGUGUGGGUGUUGGAGAGUACCUGAAGAAAAAGCGUCGGCUAACUCCGUGCCAGCAGCCGCGGUAAUACGGAGGAUGCGAGCGUUAUCCGGAUUUAUUGGGUUUAAAGGGUGCGUAGGCGGGUUAUCAAGUCAGCGGUAAAAUCGUGGAGCUCAACUCCAUCCAGCCGUUGAAACUGAUGAUCUUGAGUGGGCGAGAAGUAUGCGGAAUGCGUGGUGUAGCGGUGAAAUGCAUAGAUAUCACGCAGAACUCCGAUUGCGAAGGCAGCAUACCGGCGCCCGACUGACGCUGAAGCACGAAAGCGUGGGUAUCGAACAGGAUUAGAUACCCUGGUAGUCCACGCAGUAAACGAUGAAUACUAAUUGUGUGCUCCGAAUGAGGAGUGC